rnacentral:lncRNA from 1 species
CGUAUAGAGCUUAUGCAUGUGGGUGAAAAGCCAGAGCAGAGGGCGAAUAAUAAAACAAAAUACAUAAUGUUUGGUUAAAGUUGUUUAAUCUGAUACUUCUCAGACUAGUGUGGUAAGUGAAGUGCAAGGAAAAAAAAAACCUAGACGGACACUGGGAGCUGCUUUGUGAGGUUUAAAAGAAUGUGACACUCGGAAUUUGCCGAAAUCUUUGCGGUCUCCAUUCGGUGGCGUAUAAAGAAUUUGUCUCAUAGGAGAAAUUUUAGGCAAAAAUUACACAGAAACUCUCACUUGAAAAACACUGGGCGUUGUUUGUGUUGUGAUAUAAAUCGCCGAAUUUUCAGAGAGUAGGUCAGACAAAUUCAGUAUCUACUUACACGCUCAGCUACACUACAGAAAUCAUCGUUGUUUGAAGUAAGGCUUUGACCAAGUGGAAAUUGGCCAAUAAUAUAUUUUUUAAUGUUUAAAUGUGAAGGCGCAUGGCUCAGUAGUUAGAGCGUCGAGUUUACGAUCGUGAGGUUGUGAUCUCGAAUCCCGUGUUGUGUUCUUGAGCAAGACACUUUAUUUCACGUUCCUCCAGUUCACUCAGCUGUAGAAAUGAGUUGCGACAUCACAGGUGCCAAGCUGUAUCGGCAUUUGCAUUUCCCUUGGAUAACACGGGUGGUGUGGAGAGGAGAGUUUGGUAUGCAUGGGCGACUGCUGGUCUUCCAUAAACAACCUUGCUUGGACUUGUGCCUGGGAGGUUAACUUUCUAGGUGCAAUCCCAUGGUCUGUGUCGUGACCGAAGGGGGUUUCAGAAUGUUUAAAUGCAAUGAUGAGACCUCAUUUUCAAUUCUUAAUCGAAGCUAUUACACAUGCCUUCAGUUUCAUUUAAAAAGUUAUGUAAAACAUUUGUAUCAGAGAUAAAUGAUAAAUAUUAAACUUAUCGCCUUUCCUUCACUGAUAAAUUCAUUGUGAAAAAAAUUCACUUGGGAAGGCAUGAAUACCAUAUAUUUUUAGCUCGAGAUAAAAAAUUAAUGAAGAUAAAAAAUAAUUGAGAAAUUGGGCUAAAGAGUUACUCUUUAACAGUGCUAACGCUGAUUAGAGUUAGUUAGUAUUACUCAUAUCAAUAUUAAUCUAUUACUUUCAUUAUAUUUCACACCAUUCACAAAACUUGUGUUUUAUAUGCUUUUAUUUAUCUCUUUAUUUAUUUUUGCUGCAAAAGCUGUUGUUUUUUCAUUUCAACAACUGUGACUCUCUGGUGUAUAACAAUGACUGACAUAGCUGUCGAUAAGAUGGCGUAUUAUGCUGGUAAUUAUCUCGCUAAAUAUUACGACUACCACUACAUCGAGGAGAAUAUAAUAUGGGGGAGAAGUGGAUGGUUUUUGUUUGUGUUUUAUUCCUUUAUCUAUUUUAUUUCAUCUUUAGAUAUUUUUGUUGUUGUUUUAGUUAUUUCCUUCCUUUUGCUUUUGUUUCAUUCUUGUCUCUUAUGUUGCUGCUGAUUUUGUCGUUGAGGCUGUGUCUAAUUCACUUGGCAACAUUGAUGGUGGACAUUACAAUCAUGGUGUAACGUCGAAAUCAAUGGCGACAUGUAGUAAUGAAGGCAGCAACAACACAACACACACACACGCGCGCGCGCAUCUAUUACACGGAAACAAUAACAAACAACAAAACAAAUAUGAAAACAAUAACAAAUGAAAAAAUAACCCCAGAACAUAUUCAACAAAACGAUGGCUACAAAAACAGUAAAAGCAAUGUUCACGCGAUAAUAGGAUAGCAGAAGUGUAUCCCUUUAUCCCACCCCUGACACUCUCUCUCUCUCUCUCUCUCUCUUUGUCUAUCUAUCUAUCUAUCUAUCUAUCUAUCUAUCUAUCUAUCUAUCUAUCUAUCUAUCUAUCUAUCUAUCUGUAUAUCAAUCUAUCUAUUAAGGCGUGGCACCUAGGAUACGUAGACAAAGAAGUCUGUUAGAGAAAGUAUUAAAUUGAUCCCAUUCCCAUAUAGAUGAUUGAUAAUUAAAGAAGAAUUAAAAGAUUUCGAUUAUUAGAGGAUGAAACAAAGAAGAAGGGACAUAGAGAGGAGAGAAAGAGCAUGAACAAAGAGUAAAGCAAAAACACAAACGACAGAAAUAUGUCUUGGUAAAUGAGGAGACAAAAUAUAAUUACAGCUAGUGAAGAAAAAGCAAUCGACGAAUUCGAAUUUUGAAACAAAGCUGGGCGUAUUAGUACGAAGAGUGAUAUGAAAGAGACAACGUUAAACCCUCCUUCUUCCCUUCCUUCCUGAGCGUCCAAUAAUACUAUAUUUGUUCCACGUCCUUGCGUUGUUGUGUUUUCUCUUUGUGUGUUCAUGUUUGGAUUAACUAUGUGUGUAUAUAUAUAUAUAUAUAUAUAUAUAUAUAUAUAUAUAUAUAUAUAUAUAGGGAGGCAGUGAGAGAGAAAGAGAGUAAAACGUAAGUGAUCCAGCGGUGUUUGCUAAUUUAGUAUCGGUAACACACCUUUUAUUUUAAAGUCUACGUUUAUUGGAUGCUUAAAACUAAGUUUUAAGGUAAUAAAAAUGAAUUCACCUUAAUAAAAUAAAUUUUGCGUGCCGAAAAUGAAUGUUAUAUGGGUACAUGUACGUAUGAACGUCCGCAUUUAUACUCUAUACAUUUGUAUAUUUGUAUGUAUAAUUGAAUAUACGUAUAUGCAUAUUACACAAUAUGGAAUACAGUUUUGUAUAUAUAUAUACAUACAAAUACAAAACUGUAUUCCAUAUUGUGUACUAUGCAUAUACGUAUAUUCAAGUAUAUAUACAUACAAAUAUACAAUUGUACAGAGUAUAAAUACGGACUUUCAUACGUACAUUUAUCCAUUUAUACGUACAUGUAUCUAUUUAUAUACCUGUAUCCAUAUAUACGUACAUACACUCUCUCUCACACACACACAUAUAUAGAUAUGAGAAAAAGAGGAAGAGAGAAAGGGAGCACUAAACGUUACUUAAGUCUGAUACCUAUCAAGUAAAUCAACCAAUCAUCCGAUAUCAUUGUAAGUUAACACUGUUAACUACGAUUCCACAAAAGUCUUUAACUUUACGAGAAAGAUGGGACAAACUUUCACAAUGAAGCAUAUCAAAUAUGCAUUCCCAUCAUCAGCUGCCAAACAGAUAUCACUACGUUUCCGACAUCUGGUCAGAUCAAUUGAAUUCUGUAACGUAAACAGCGUUAAAAGCAUAGACACUGCCUGGCAAUCAAUAAAAAUCAGUAGGAACGAAAUACUGGCAUAGUAUUAAUAUCAACAACCUCAUAUUAUACAAAUCACUAUUAACUUGUAUAAUAUACUAAAGUUAGUAAACAUUAGUUAUAUAUCAAAGAAAUUCGUCCAAAAAUGUACAUUGUGAUAGUAAAUUUAAAGUAGAAAAUAUAACUAGUAAACUAAAACUAGACGAAAAUUUCAUUCAAUCACUGGUACAUAACAUGAUAACAGCAAUACAUGGGAACAGUAAACUUAGACUAAUUAACGAACAUAGACUGACUGAUAUGUUGUUCCAUAAUCGUUAUACUAUGAGAAACACAGAGGCAAACCAAAAACUAGUCUCGUAUCAACUAGAGGAACGGUAUACGCUUUAACCAACAAAUGAAAAAAAUCGAAAGCAUAGGUCAAUAUAUCAAUAGCUACAAAACAUAUGUUCAAUUGAAUAAAAGAAAUUAACCGAAUAAAUUGGUACUAUGCAUGGUAGGCGAAAACAUCACUGAAAAUUAGAUCUGAAACAUGGAAUACCGGUUAUUGAAGAUUUUAUCAUCCUACCUGCACGUUCUGUAUAUAAUAUACAAUAGUAUCGUGGAAGCUGUUACAUCUGCUGUGUAAAAAUGAUUAUCUUAAACUAUGCUAUGAUUGCAAUAUAUUAUUCUCUACUCGUCUGAAUCAUUGCAGAUAGGGCAUGACAGUGGUCUAUCAAAAUAUAAUACACGAACACGUAGUAAAUGCAACAUUCAUGGAACGAGAACGGGAACGUAGUGGUAGAGGGAAAUAACUCAAUAAUGUAAGAUAUUUUUGCCCGUUACUGUAUUGAUUAUGGCAUAUGUUUGUAAUGUAUCUUUACGUGUAAUAAUACAAACAUGUAUACAUGCACACACAAACACACACACAUAAAUAUAUACACAAGAAUGAAAAAGCAGCACUCAACAGUAAUCCUUAUACAUAUAUAUAUAUAUAUUUAAACACAUUACAUUACGUUUAUGAUGAAAUCAUGUCAAAAUAAUUUCAUUGCUUAUAUUACAUUUCAUAUAUAUAUAUAUACCUAUAUAUAUACAUAUAUAUAUACAUAUAUAUAUACAUAUAUAUAUAUAUAUAUAUGAUAUACAUAUAUAUAUACAUAUAUAUAUAUAUAUAUACAUCUAUAUAUAUAUAGUUAUAUAUACAUAUAUAUAUAUACACUUAUACAGUACAUAUAUAUAUAUAUAUAUAACACACACACACACACACACACACAUAUAUAUAUAUAUAUAUAUAUAUAUAUAUAAAUAUACAUGUAUAUAUACAUUACAUAUAGUGUAUUUAUUCUAUAAUUUAAUUUAUAUCUAUUUUUUUAUCUUCUUCACAUUUAUUUUCCGUUUUCAUGUUUUUAAUAUGUAAAAAAUAUAGAAAUCCCGCUUGUUCUGCCAGAUUGAAUGGUUUACCAACUAAUUGAAUGCCGAGUUAAAUAUAUUCUAAUGCUGGCCUGGAUCGAUAAGAACAUGUUUUGUUAUAUAUAUAUAUAUAUAUAUAUGUGUGUGUGUGUGUGUGUGUGUGUGUGUGUGUGUGUGUGUGUGUAUGCAUGCGCAAUACAGGAAAGCGUACAUAUAAAUACACAUACAGCUAUGUAAUAUAUAUGCAAUCAUAUAUCUAACUAUACACAUUUCCUCCCUAUGUGGUUGUGUGCCGUUCGUUCUUUUAAUGAAUGAAGAUUACCAUUCUGCUUUGCCAAAUGGUAUGAUGGCAUUGGAAAAAAAAUCACCUGAUUCUUUGGCACUUGUCUAAUAUGUAUGUCACAUCAAUUAUGCUUAUAUUUGAAUCUAUCUACCUGUCACUCUACCUACGCGCGCGCACACACAUGCAUAAACACACUCACAGAUAGAUAGAUAUCGUAAGCAUACUCUCAGAAACUUAGACAAACAAGAGCGCAUGUGUGGGCGUUUGUAGUUGGAGAGGUAUUUUUUACGCAUGCUUGUAUAUUGAUAUAUUAAUAUGUAUCUUAGUAAAAACAGUUGUAUCACGGAAAUGCUAUAUCUUCCUUUCACCACUGUUACCUACACGGCAGUGAUAUAUAUACAUAUGUACAUAUUUAAGGACAUAUACGUAUGGAUAUAUUUGUUAAUAUAUGCUUGUACAUACAUAUAUAUAUAAUAUAACAAAAUAAUAAGUAAAACAUAUGCAUAUAUACACACAUAUAUGUACGUACCUACAUCUAUAUGUAUAUAUACAUGCAUAUAUAGGUACAGGACACCAAAAAACGUCGAACACAAUGAGAAACGAAAACAUAAAAACAGAUCCAUGGAAACGGACAUCUUUUUAAACAACGAAAAUUACAGGGUACAAGACAUACAACACAGCCGCCUCCGUUUCGUCUACUCCGCGUUUCGAAGGCAAAGUCGAGACACGACUUCGAUGAAACGAUCCUUCCUGCAAAUAAUUUGAAAUUUUUGCGGAGGGUAACGUGGUAACAAACACAGCACAGUAAAAACAGUACAAGACAGUAAAAAUAAAAAUAAAAAUAAAAACAGUAAACGACAGGACAAGUAGAAUAACAGUAAUACGAACGUUAAGGGCUGUUAAGCCGAACGAAAGUGAUAUUAUUUGUGUAUAUAUAUAUAUGUCUGUCUGUCUGUCUGUCUGUCUGUCUAUGUAUGUAUGUAUUUGUAUAUGUAUUUAUUCGAACAAAUAUACAUAUAUAUAUUAGAAUUAAAUAUGCAUGUAGUUCAUGUUUGAAGCUCCGAUGAAGACCAAAGUGAUACGCAGUCAUUCAACUAUGAGGGUAUUGCAUCUUAUAGCAGAAAAGCUCCACCAGCUGAUGAAGUUAAUGACAUAACGGCAACAUUUCAUCUUUUCCUUUGCCAUUUUAUGAACAUGCGUACACAAAUACAUGCAUAUAUUUGGUGUAGCGUAUUACUUUUCAAGGCGUACAAGUAGCACACAAACAACUGUCUAUAUACACAAUACACAUGUCGUAUUUGGUGGGCGAUUAUUGGUAAGAGUUAAACAUAUUUUACAUUCGCUCUUUGUCUUUCUCCCUCUCUCUCUGUAUGCAUACAUAUAUAUACUUAUAUAUAUAUUUAUCCUUCACAACUCUAUACGUGCACCAACAUAUACUUCUGGCCUUCGUGCACAAAGACGCAUGAGUACAGCCAGUUCCAACACUGUGUAAAUCCUGUGAAUCCAUAUCCUUUGAAUCAUUGCAGUAUUUUGCACACAUACACACACACGUGAAUACAUCAUGGGUUAGCUGACCGAAACUCCGAAGUCACUGUCAGCAACAUUCUUGUUCGAGAGAUAAAUAUAUAUAUAUGGCUUACUCUACGAAAGUAUAGAGCAGCCAAUGUGAUUAAUGUCAAAUUCUUUUUAUUAUUAUAAAUGAACAUUAAAACAAACAUUAUAUAUAUAUAUAUAUAUAUAUAUAUAUAUAUAUAUAUAUAUAUAUAUAUACUGUUCUACAUUUUAUCGACAAAUUAUUCAUUGAAAACUUGGCAAAUGGUUCUAAAAUGAAUUCGUUUAUGUAUUUUAAAUAACUAGUCUUUACUUUUAUAUCGGAUAAACAUAUCAUUAAAAGUUAAAAGUAUUGAUUCAUUCACACUUUAAUGAAACAUCAGUUUUUCCAAAAUUAAUAAACAUUUCUAUUAAAACGAUCUAUAUUACGCUGGAAUAUUCUACACUUAAAUCUUCCGCUUUAAGUUUUAUAAUAAUUAACUCUACGUAAGUAUAUUAAUUCAUCGGAGCAUAAUGGUUACCAUGUAAUAACCGGUUCAAUUCACCGUUCUUCUACAAAAAACAAAACAAAGCAUGCAUAAGUAAGUUGAGAGACAGUAGAUAAUGACAUUCUCGGUAUAUUAUAUCCGAAAGAAAGAUGGGAUGAUCAGGACUAGCCUUCAAUUACAGAUCAACUCGAGAGAGUAUGACAUGGAGCAGGAUCAAAGCAUCAUGAAUGCAGUGAAAAUGAUUAGAGAACUCAGAUUUAUAAAACUGAUUAUUUCCAAACUUUUCAGUGGUUAACCUGAGAUGAUAUGUUGAAAUCAUUGGCAUAGGCACAGCCGUCACUGUCUGAUUAUGAAGCUUGCUUCCCAGCCAUGUCAUACUGGGUUCAGUCCCAUUUCGAAUCACCUUGGGUAAGUGUUUUGGACUAUGGCUCCGGGAUGAUCAAAGAUUUUUCAAAUGAUUUGGCAGACGGAAACAGAAACAGGCCCAUUAUAUGUAUACAUCUAUGUAUGUAUUUCUACUUGCGCUUGUCGCAAACCACUUCUUAACAACCGCUGCUGGUUUGUUUAUUUCCUUUUAAUUUAAUGGUUCGGCAAAAGACGCCAAUAGAUGAUGCACUAGGUUUUGAAAUUGUAAAUACCGGGAUCGAUUCGUUCGACUAUACCCUUCAAGGCGAUAUCACAGAAUAGCUUCUUACUGUAAAACGGUGUUACAGAAAUAAAAUAUAGGUCUUCUCCCAGUUAAACAGUACAGUUUUGUCUACAAUCAGAAACAAAUAGCAUUCAGGUUCGCAUACUUUUCAGGAAUUCAUUCCUCACUGGCAGUUACUUCCUACGGUGAAAGCAGAUAGCCAAAAGUCAAGAUAUUCAUGCAUAUUAUUAAUACACAUAUGUCUUCCUUUCAAACCGCAACUUCAGAAUUUUGAAAGCAAUUCCCUCUCUUCCAAGUAUGUGAUACAUAUAUAUAUAUAUAUAUAUAUACGCAUACACACACACACACGCACGUACACAUACAUACAUACACACACGCAUACAUACACCCAUACACAUACAUGCAUCCUACACACACAUACAUACACACUCACACAUACAUACACACACACGCACUCACUCACACACCUGUAUGUUCGCGCACACACAUGCACAUACACACACUUCCCCACACCCACACGUACAUACAUACACACUCAUACACAUACACACACACACACGGACAUACAUCUAUGCACACACAUAUAUACACACAUACUCACAUACAUUCAUCGGACACACUGCCACCCAGACAUACACACAGACACACUCACACAUCCACACACACACAUACGUACGCGCACACUCGCAGGCGCGCGCACACACGCGCUUGCGCCGGUUCGCGCACGCAUGCGCGCCGCAUGCACCUCGCCCUUGGACCCGACGAGACCUCCCGCCCGUUCCUGGGAUGUCGCUUGUCGUUGGGUUUUCCCACGCCCGUCUCCGCGGGACCACUCUUCCAUCUUCCCCUCCGCUGGAGUCCUUUUCCUUACCCCCCCCCUUUUUUCGUUACACACACGCGCACACAUAUACACACAUUGCUUAAACAUAUACAUUACUCUUACACACAUUCAAUCUACUCGCCAUUAAUACUACCACGACACUGGACACACACACAAACUACUACUCAACACACGCUGGCACGCUACAUACGCCCCCACCCCUUCCCCUCCCUCCCUUCCUCCUUCCUCCCUUUUCUUACUACUGACCUUUGUCUGCUAUGCUGCUGCUAUGCUGACCACCGUUUCGCCCUACCUCACACGCCUACACACAGACGCACACACUAACACAUACAUAUAUUUUUUGUUUUUUUAUCUCGCCUCACACACACACAUACACACACGCACACGCACACACUCACACAUACACACACAUCUGUUGCGUUACCAACCUUGUCUCCACUCUUUUGCCUUUAAAAACCCACUUUGCUCUUGUUAUCGUAAACAUCCGCCUUUCACCAUGUGUAACUCCUAACACCAGUCGUUUUUUUCUCUAUUUCCGUUGCCCGCUCCGGGAUCUUUCUUUCCUCUCUCUUCCUUCUUUAUGUUUCCGACGAAGAGCUCCGCUCGAAACGUCAUACCUCCCUGCUUCCAUUUCCUGAGCGCCUAUUAAUAAUAAUACUGUAAUUGUUCCAUUGUUGUUGUUUUUUUGUUUCCCGUUUGGAUUAAAAUUAUAUAUAUAUAUAUAUAUAUAUAUAUAUAUAUAUAUAUAUAUAUAUAUAUAUGCCUGUGUGUGUUUGAGCGUUUUGCAUAUAUACAAUGCCAUGUAUGCUUAUGAAUACACGUUUGUAUACAUUUAUGUACUUGCAAGUGUUAAUGUGCUGAAAAUAGUAAUGUGCCAAUUAAUACAUAUAAAUUCAUAAAAUAGGUACAAGGCUGAAACUAGUACUCGAACUGAUAUUAUUGACAAAAGACACUUGGAAGCCGUGCUGGAGAAUGGCCACACUCGAACAUCUAAAACCAGUAAAAGGAAGAGCAGCUAUAUGUCUCUCUGUCUAUGUAUCUUGAUAUAUGUGCCAUUCAAAACACAUUACUACUAUUUAUUAUUAUUGUUUACAAACAAUACACGAUGCUUCAAGCGAACUACAAUAUUCUCCUAUAUAUAUAUAAUGUUGAGGAUGGCAAAAUAUUGUGGUUUACCAUCCAAUAGCACUUCGAACAUCCACAGCAGAGGAUGAAAAUAACAAUAUCAAAACGUAUGUAGGAAAUAAAUUAUAUAGAUUGCAUCAUGUGCUUAUCAUAAUUCUUCUCACAUUUUCACUGAAUAUUAUAAACUGCAAUACUGCUGAUAUAGCAGUAACCACUUCGCUUUAUUCGAAAGAGUCUAGUUGCUGAUACGCUACGUGGAACUCUAAAUUGGCCAGUCACUGUCGUACAUACAACUGCACGCAUAUGAUAAGUAUAUAUUAUAUAUAUUAUAUAUAUAUAUAUGAAAAUAGAGGCGCGCAUGCGCAUACAUACGUUUAUAUAUAUAUAUAUAUAUAUAUAUAUAUAUACGUAUGUGUGCAUAUGCAGUCCCUAAAACACAAGCAAUAAUAAUAAUAUAGUAGUAGUAAUAAUAAUAAUAAAUAAUAAAGACAGUAAAAUAAGGAACCAAACGUGUUGAAUAACAAUAUCCGCCUAAUUAAAGUGACACCGCAGAGAAAAGAAGUGUCAAGUUAUAUUCCUUUCAAAUUUUCAUUCACUCGAGUACUUUACCAUCUUACGGUUGUUUGCGUGAGAAUUCUUUAGAAUCCCUAUAAAGGAACUUAACGAUAAAACAACUGUGAAGAAUCUAACAUACUAUGUUAAGCUUCUUCAAAUUUCCCAGCAACUGGCAACAGUGCGCGCGCGCGUACACAUAGACAUAUACACACGGGAUAACUAUUUAAAAUUUAUUUUCCUAAUAACUUUUCGAGUUAAUUUAUAUACUUAAAAUUGUAAGUGUAUUCCGGUUUCAUCUAGUUUUUUUAAAGAUCGUAGUGGUACAUUAUUAAUAGAUAUUGCGAAUUUAUUAUUAUUAUUAUUAUUAUUAUUAUUAUUAUUAUUAAGGCGGCGAGUUGGUAGAAUCGUUAGUACGCUGGACGAAAUGCUUAGCGGUAUUUCGUCCGCAGCUACAUCCUGAAUUCGAAUUCCGCUGAGCUCGACUUUGCCUUUCAUCCUUUCGAUUUCGAUAAAAUAAAUCGACUAAUCCACUGUCCCAAAAUUGUCUACCCUUGUGGCAAAAUUUGAAACCUUUAUUAUUAUUAUUGAGUGGGAGAGCACUGCAUGCCUUCAAAGGGACAUUGGGAUAAAAUAUACGAAGCCCAAUAUACCCAUCAUGACUACACGUCUGAUAUGGGUACACCAGGCACAUGCAUCACAACCAUAUAUGCAUGUGAUAUAACAUCUCAAGAUAAACAGUGCAUGACCUUGCAUGUGGGGCCCAGUUAGAAUCUUCCUGAGGUGGAGUUGCUUAUCCUGUUCAAAAGGUCCCUGAAUAAGGGUUGUUUAAGGAUGUUGAACGAAACACUCAUGUUUCCAGAGGUGAAUUAUCCAAACUCCAAAGAAUUCCUCUCAGCAUAUGUCUAUGAUGCUCACCCACUACUUCUGCUCGCGAUCAAAGAUGCAUAUAUCGUCAGCCACUAAGGGACAUGCUCAACUAGUUUAAGUGAAACAACUGACUAGCAAAUCUGUAGUAUUAAGCAGAAUAUUUGCUGUAGCCCGUCUUUUAUAACAAGUCAUAUGCUGUAGCCCGUCUUUUAUAACAAGAAAUAUGCUAUUCGAAGCGAUAGUCUACAUGAUUACACUUCCAUUCAGUUAAGAUCAGAAGCCAUGAGAGCUACUGUCUGCUACUGCAUCAGGGCUUAAGUAUUGCAUCAUCAUCAUCAUCAUCAUCAUCAUCAUUAUUAUUAUUAUUAUUAUUAUUAUUAUUAUUAUUAUUAUUAUUAUUAUUAUAUGAGGUGAUCUGAACAAAGACGUAUUCGUUCUGAUCAUUAACAUCAGAUUUCUUUCAGCAUUUAGAAUAUAUAUUUUCCGUAACUAUCUGGUAUGAGUCUAUUCACUAGGUAGCUCUAGCUAGCUUCGUAAACAGCUUUCUAUUUUAGUUUGCUUGUAAUAUAACUUUUAUGGCUAAACACUGAGAUAAUUAGUCUAUCGCAUAAAGAAAAUCGAGCUAAGGGAAAUAAUCAAAAUAAACGAAAAAAAAAACAUUGAGGAAAAACAUUAUACAAGUAUUAAUGCACGGAAAAUUUGUUCAUCAGUAUUUCUUGAGGAAUUCAAAUUUCCUAUUUAAAGAACGGAAGCAAGAGCCUAUAUGUAAUCUUUAGCAACUCAUAAUAAAAUGGGAUAUAAUUACAAAAAUAAUGAAUAAAAUAUACUAACUAUCAUGCUUAAAAGAAAUAUGGUCGUUGUUAGUGAGGUCUCUGUCGGCAACGAACUUGUUUGAGCGGUUUGAACUCUCUUGGUCUCCUUUUUGUCUUGCGUUGUAGUGAUGCCUUUUUGUACAUGCACGGUAAGCUGUCUACAAAAUGUAGCAUCUGUCCAACUAUGUUAAUAAAUACAAUCUUGGCGUUUACUAUUUAAAGUUGUACAAACAUAUUGGCAAAUGACAUUAAUUAUCGAAAAUUGAAUGGGCGGUAUCCAAGCUUUGUGGUCUUUUGAUAGUGACUUUGAUAAUUACUUUGUUUUUGUAGUACAUUAAUAAUAUAUGAUGACGGAAUAUAAUGCAUAUAAUAUUCUGUUGGAUGAUAUUGAAAAUAACAUAAUCACCUAUCCUAUAUCCAGUGUUAUUUUGUUCAUAUAUUACAUAUUGCGUGGAUCAUUUGUUAUAACUAGGUAUUUUGAUUGCUGUGUUUACUGUGUUCAUUUUGUUUCUGUGCUGCUAUGUAAUUUGGUAUAUUAAAUUCUUUGUAUUCCAAUUGUUCAUUACAAUUUCAUUUAUUCUGUAAUAAUUCUUUUAAUUAUUUUUUGUUUGCAGUGCUUCAUUUGUGGAGGAGAAUCUAAAGGCUCUUCUGAGUAAAGGAUUUUACACAUAUCUAUGUGGACAUUCACUAACUCCAUGUAAG